rnacentral:rRNA from 1 species
GCCAUAUCAAUAAGCGGAGGAAAAGAAACUAACAAGGAUUCCCCUAGUAACUGCGAGUGAAGCGGGAAAAGCUCAAAUUUAAAAUCUGGCAGUCUUUGGCUGUCCGAGUUGUAAACUAGAGAAGUGUUACCCGCGUCGGACCGUGUACAAGUCUCCUGGAAUGGAGCAUCAUAGAGGGUGAGAAUCCCGUCUUUGACAUGGACUACCGAGGCUUUUGUGGUGCGCUCUCAACGAGUCGAGUUGUUUGGGAAUGCAGCUCAAAAUGGGUGGUAAAUUCCAUCUAAAGCUAAAUAUUGGCGAGAGACCGAUAGCGAACAAGUACCGUGAGGGAAAGAUGAAAAGAACUUUGGAAAGAGAGUUAAACAGUACGUGAAAUUGCUGAAAGGGAAACGCUUGAAGUCAGUCGCGUUGGCCGGAAAUCAACCCUGCUUCUGUUGGGUGUACUUUCUGGUUGACGGGCCAGCAUCAGUUUUGACCGGUGGAAAAAGUCCAAGGGAAUGUGGCAUCUCCGGAUGUGUUAUAGCCCUUGGUCGUAUACAUCGGUUGGGACUGAGGAAUUCAGCACGCCGCAAGGCCGGGUUUCGACCACGUUCGUGCUUAGGAUGCUGGCAUAAUGGCUUUAAUCGACCCGUCUUGAAACACGGACC